rnacentral:rRNA from 1 species
AACGAACGCUGGCGGCAGGCCUAACACAUGCAAGUCGAACGGAACCUUCGGGGUUAGUGGCGCACGGGUGAGUAACGCGUGGGAACCUGCCCUUAGCUUCGGAAUAGCCCUCUGAAAGGGGGGCUAAUACCGGAUAAGCACUUCUGACGAAAGAUUUAUCGCCGACGGAUGGGCCCGCGUUGGAUUAGGUAGUUGGUAGGGUAAUGGCCUACCAAGGCGACGAUCCAUAGCUGGUCUGAGAGGAUGAUCAGCCACACUGGGACUGAGACACGGCCCAGACUCCUACGGGAGGCAGCAGUGGGGAAUGUUGGACAAUGGGCGAAAGCCUGAUCCAGCAAUGCCGCGUGAGUGAUGAAGGCCUUAGGGUUGUAAAGCUCUUUUACCCGGGAUGAUAAUGACGGUACCGGGAGAAUAAGCACCGGCUAACUCCGUG